GAUGAACGCUGGCGGCGUGCCUAAUACAUGCGAGUCGAGCGAACAGACGAGGAGCUUGCUCCUCUGACGUUAGCGGCGGACGGGUGAGUAACACGUGGAUAACCUACCUAUAAGACUGGGAUAACUUCGGGAAACCGGAGCUAAUACCGGAUAAUAUAUUGAACCGCAUGGUUCAAUAGUGAAAGACGGGUUUGCUGUCACUUAUAGAUGGAUCCGCGCCGCAUUAGCUAGUUGGUAAGGUAACGGCUUACCAAGGCAACGAUGCGUAGCCGACCUGAGAGGGUGAUCGGCCACACUGGAACUGAGACACGGUCCAAACUCCUACGGGAGGCAGCAGUAGGGAAUCUUCCGCAAUGGGCGAAAGCCUGACGGAGCAACGCCGCGUGAGUGAUGAAGGUCUUCGGAUCGUAAAACUCUGUUAUUAGGGAAGAACAAAUGUGUAAGUAACUAUGCACGUCUUGACGGUACCUAAUCAGAAAGCCACGGCUAACUACGUG
rnacentral:rRNA from 1 species